rnacentral:lncRNA from 1 species
AUACUCCAGCACAGCAGCGUGUUAUUGACCAGGAUUAACCACAUUUGCUCACAUUCUUUUAAAAAUAGUGAUUUGCAUCCUUGGAUGGGUGCUGGCAGGGACCAGCGAAAGAACAGCAACGGAAACAGGGAGGAAAGCGGAGCAAAGCCAGCAUCAGUGGCCUUCGAGAAUCCAGAGCUCUGCAAAGAGACGGCCGGAGCUGAGAUGAGCAGAGAAACACAGGCAGAUAAAGAUGAACCAUCACCACCUCAGCCAGAGAGACAAAUACAUGAACAAUCAGAAUCCAGAGUUGUGCUGAGUUUCAACUAGGAAUGCAACUAUGAGCCAUCAUGUGGUACUUUACCAAGACCAGCAGCUGUACAUUAAGCACUGAAAUUAUCAAAGCUCAUGACUUACACAGCCAGCACCUCCCGUAGCAAUCGUUCUGCUGUGGACUACCCACCAACAAAAUCUUUAGCAACAGGAUUCAUUUUUUCCAGACCAAAUAUUAAGUAGUAACGACAACACCUCAAUGUGCAGAGGAUAUCAGAGCUGUGAUGAGCCAAGUCAAAUUCAUGCCAGAAAGAUACAUAGGCAUUUUGAAAGUAAAGCCAUUAACGCGUAAGUUCCUCAUUUUUAUGUGCUACAUUUUCCAAAUCAUCACAUCUCAGAAAUUACCUGAAAUCAACCUUUAACUACAUCGAAUGAAACAGAGCACUCUGAAGAAAAGUCCAUGGAUAACUUUUAGACCAAACAAAUUGGAACGCUUCUACAUACCAAAGUAAAAUUUCUUCGACUUAUUCUUCUUUUGGUUUCAGAAUUCAAAAAGUCCAGAAGCCUGUAAAUAUGAAAAAAAAAAGUUUAAGGAAAAGAUCUAGAAAAAUAUCAAUCAAAAUGAUCAAAGGCAAUUGAAAAUGGUAACGUGUGUGCUUGGCUAAAAAUAAGGCACAUUCUGAGUGGAAAGUUGCUAAAAAAUGUUCAAAGCCAUGGAGGUCACGGCUCGAAUGAAUGUUGACUGUUUCAGCUCAUCUCAAAACAGAAGCACUGUUUCCAAUUGCAAAGAAAGCCUGUGCUCUCCCCUUCCAAGAAAGUGGUAGAAGAUGGCAAUGGAAAACCAUUUCACAUUAACCAAUACAUUUUUAAUAUUAACCGGUUACAUUUUAAUUUAUCACUAAACACUAUUUAGGAAAUGACUGAAAGGAAUUUGGGAUUUUCUCAUCAGUCUGCAUCUGGGAAAGGUACAAAGAAAGUGACAGG